GUAGUCGGAUUCACAUCAAUCCAUAUGUGUUGAGGUGGAUUGGAGUGGAAUUUGAACUAAAUUCCACCCCUAUCCACACCAACACACAUGAAUUGAAGUGAAUUCAACA
rfam:Sorghum bicolor cultivar BTx623 chromosome 2, whole genome shotgun sequence.